rnacentral:rRNA from 1 species
CCUACGGGUGGCAGCAGUUAGGAAUCUUCGGCAAUGGGCGAAAGCCUGAUGCAGCCAUGCCGCGUGUGUGAAGAAGGCCUUCGGGUUGUAAAGCACUUUCAGCGGGGAGGAAGGCGUUAAGGUUAAUAACCUUGUCGAUUGACGUUACCCGCAGAAGAAGCACCGGCUAACUCCGUGCCAGCAGCCGCGGUAAUACGGAGGGUGCAAGCGUUAAUCGGAAUUACUGGGCGUAAAGCGCACGCAGGCGGUCUGUCAAGUCGGAUGUGAAAUCCCCGGGCUCAACCUGGGAACUGCAUUCGAAACUGGCAGGCUAGAGUCUUGUAGAGGGGGGUAGAAUUCCAGGUGUAGCGGUGAAAUGCGUAGAGAUCUGGAGGAAUACCGGUGGCGAAGGCGGCCCCCUGGACAAAGACUGACGCUCAGGUGCGAAAGCGUGGGGAGCAAACAGGAUUAGAUACCCGAGUAGUC